rnacentral:rRNA from 1 species
GCCCUUGAGUUUGAUCAUGGCUCAGAUUGAACGCUGGCGGCAUGCCUAACACAUGCAAGUCGAACGGAAACGAAGGGAGCUUGCUCCCAGGCGUCGAGUGGCGGACGGGUGAGUAAUGCGUAGGAAUCUGCCCUGUAGUGAGGAAUAACCUUGGGAAACCAAGACUAAUACCGCAUACCCUCUACGGAGGAAAGCUGGGGACCCCUCGGGGCCUGGCGCUACAGGAUGAGCCUACGUCCGAUUAGCUAGUUGGUGGAGUAACGGCCCACCAAGGCAACGAUCGGUAGCUGGUCUGAGAGGAUGACCAGCCACACUGGGACUGAGACACGGCCCAGACUCCUACGGGAGGCAGCAGUGGGGAAUAUUGGACAAUGGGCGAAAGCCUGAUCCAGCAAUGCCGCGUGUGUGAAGAAGGCCUGCGGGUUGUAAAGCACUUUCAGAGGGGAAGAAAAGCCUGGGGUUAAUAAUUCUGGGUCUUGACAUUACCUUCAGAAGAAGCACCGGCUAACUCCGUGCCAGCAGCCGCGGUAAUACGAAGGGC